rnacentral:sRNA from 1 species
GCUGGAAAAGGGAGCAGGAUGAAAUACAGCGUGGGCUAAAUGGCACCACCUACAGCUCCUGUCUAGACCUUGGAACUGCGACUACGACCUUUACGUGGGGAAGAACAAGUCCUGGAAUUUAUGUACCCUCGGCCUGCCUUUGCCAACACGACGAUGUCGGUGUGAUGGGAGCUCUGUGCUGUGAUGGUGGAACAAGCUUGAACCAUUGUGUUAAAUGAUGGACAGCUGAAUUCCUGUUCAGUGAUUCUCAUGGCUCCGUGGCGGUGACGCAUCCAGAUGGGAAAGCAGAAAUGCGGUGCAUGGGAAAGAGCUUUGGCAUCUCACACACCGCGGACCAAGAAUACACGGAAGGACUCAUGAGGGCAAGGUGGAUGACUGCCAGUUUGUCUGCGUUGCCCAGCAAUGAGCCAAGUAGAAAAGAACCUGCAGAGAGUCGAGGAAGAAGGAGAGAUGGCGAUACUGAAGGGGCACUGAGAACCUGAUGGGACUGGAGCAAGGAAGAGCCACAUUGUCAUCAAGUUAGGGUACAGAGGUGUUCCUUCGAAAAGGGAGUGAGAAAGCUGUCCUGCUUAGUUUCUACCGACUUCCCUUUGUUUAUUUUUUUUCUGUUUUCUUCUAUAUAUUUUAGGUUAUACACAUAGUAGUGGGUUUCUUUGUGGCAUUUGCAUACACAGGUGUCAUUAAAUUCCGUUCUCAUUCAUUCCCCUCCCAGCUUUCCUUGCCAACAAACAUGAUAUCUGUUACUAGUUCCCAGUCAAUAAAUGGCCACUGACUAGUUUUUAUCUGUCUUCCUACCUAGAUUGUUUUAUGUGAAAGAUUUGAGACUGGGGGUCUGUAUCAGUGUCCCUCAAUUGAUUAGACCUUUUAUUGCUGCAGGGCACCUCAGAGGGCUGACCAUACAUUUGGUAGAAUAGCAUUCUGUAGUGGACUCAACACUCAAACAAGACUUCCUGUCGACAUACUGGACUUUCCUUCCAGCCCGAUGGAAGUGGGCAAGAAGUUAUUGGAGCGGUUCAAUGGCCCGAGCCUCAGGGCUAAGCUUGGAAAUGCAUUCUAUUUUAGCCCCUAGAUGUGAACUACUAGAAGAUAAAAUUUGGAAUAUCAUUUAUCCUCACAUUAAUUUAAUGAAAACAAUGAAGAAGAUAACUGAUGCAGAUAUUGUAAGAGAUUGUAAGAACCUGUAAGAGAUUUCUAUACUCUCAGUCUCAGAAAUACUUUCUUACUUUAAACACAAGCUCAGUGUAUGGUUCUCUUGGGAAUAUGGUAAAACAACCAAAUGUCUGCAUGCCAGACCACAGCAUGGCUUGGUGGGCCGUGUGUGCCUGGUGGAUGUUAGAUGUUUGCAACACUGGGCCAGCUUGCCCUCCUGUGCUGCUGAAGGCCUUGGGGCCCUUUUCUGAUCUGAUCAUCCAGCAGCUUUUGUGAGCUCUGUCAAGGCCACACUCGAUGAACAGCUUCCCAUACAAGUGUUGGCUCCUCCCCUUCACAACCUUCCCCACCCAGAGCUUUCUAGAUUACUGCUCUUUGCUUUCUUCGUCUAAUCUGCCCUUGAACUUUGUAGUUUCUGUCUGAUAAUUUGU